rnacentral:miRNA from 1 species
AGGUAGAAUGAGGCCUGACAU